AAAAAAAUUUGCGCUGAUUUUUCCCCAAAUUUCCCCCCUAAAACCCAAAAACGAAAAAAUCAUAAAAUUUCCCCCUAAAAUGGAGGCACCAAAGACGAUUCAUCUUCUUUGAUGAGAGUAGCAGUGUGAGGAAUGGGAAUUCAUCUUCUCAUUUGUUGAAACCUGAACCCAGAGAGAUAUUGAAUUUUGGUAAGAGUAAGAGAAGUGGGAAUGGGAAUUUGUUCACAGGAAACUCUCUAUUCUUCGUGGAGAACAAGAAGAGGUCGCCUAAUUCAAGAGGGAGCAACGAAGAAGCUAUGCUUUCAUUUACUUCAGGUGUAAUUUUACCUUCAUCUGGUGUGGUGAAAUCAAGUGGGAAGUGUAGGAAAAAAGUAGCUGAAAGUUUUGGGUUUUGCUUCGUUGAUUUUCUUUUUGUUUCCAUUUUCCUACUGACCAAACAAAGGUGCUUGAGAAGCUGUUAAAAUAUCAUGCUGGAAAAUAUGCGACUGGAGAUGAAGUUUCCAUGGCAGAUCUGUUUCUAGCACCACAGAUUCUAGCUGGGAUUGAACGAUUCAAUGUUGACAUGGUAAUCUGCAUAUUCCAUUAACUACUAGUUUCUGCAUCCAAUUGAUAUUUGUUCACUUUUAACUCAUUUGAAGUUGCCAUUCCUCUCCUCACACUAAAAUGCAGGCAUGUAUUCUUGGCUUUUCUAUUUGCUCUUAUGCUUCUGAAAUUUUUGUGAGUUGGAGGGAGAAAUAUUGCUUCAUAUAUCACCAUCCUCCUAAGAUUUUUCAAUGACACCAAAUAAAAUUUUUCAGCUCUUGACUCAGCUGCUACUGGAUUUUUUGAGCUUCUCUGCUUCUAGCUUUUCAUCUAUGGUCAGAUACUCAGUUGUGACUAAUAAGGUCUCAAUGGAGGUUUUUGAAGAAUUCAUUCUAGAAUAGUUGAAUCUGACAAAAGGCACAAUAUCUGAAAUUAAGCACAUUCAUUUGACAGGAUAAUUUGGAAACCUUGUUGCAAGAGGACAUUCAGGCUGAUCUAGUAUGUUGCUUGCAGCAUUUGCAGUUAAGAUUUGAAACUAAAGACAAAGCAAGGAGACUUCUUAAGUAAUGUGUCAUUUUUGUUGAAACCAGGGGGUUAUUUUUUCGGUAUUACUCCUGAAAAUAUGAUUGCCAAAAACUGUUGUUUCUGGAUUUGUGUAUUUUCCUUCUUUUUUUCUUGUGGUUUUGCUGCACCUGUUUCUGGGAGGUGAUUGUGUAAACAUUUUAGUGUGCUUUAGUUAUUGUAAGAAUAUUUUUAACAUUGUUAAUUUUAAUAUUAUUGUGAAUUAGAAUUCAGUUAUCAAUUUAUAUCA